ensembl:lncRNA
CUGUUUUGCAACAAAGUGCCCAGAAAAUCGGGUCCUGUAAAUGGAGUGCAAGAAGGGUAACCCUCUUCAGUGCCAUGCAUCGUUGUGACCACAUGGGAUUCCACAGACCACUGUUGCUUUCCAGUCUCUCCCAGGGGCAGAGAGUAGAGCGUGUGAAUGGCUGGUUCCUGUCCUCUGCUUUGCUUUUCUUCUUUGGCACAUGACAAUCAACAGGUGUAAUCGAGUGGAAGGAAGUGUGCAGCAGCAGGGCUCCCACAGAGGGCCAUGUCAUGCAGAACAGCUGUCACUGCAGCGCUGUGCUGCCUGCCCGUGCAAACCCCUCGGUGUCUGGCCAAAGACCCGAGCGACUCACAGGCAGGCAUCGUGCCUCCCAAACAGAUGGGCAGGAGCACAGGCAGGCCAAGGACCACAUGUGAACACAAAAUAUGUUGGAGGCGGGCAGUGUGAGCAGCCAGGAACACUGCAGUAUCUUUCACUCCUAACACCUUCACAAACAUGGCGAGUUCAGAUGCAUUUUAGAGGGUCUGUGCUCAGGAGCUGGUCCUGUGGGUGCCUGUGGCACCUUCUGCUGCAGUCUGAAGGUUAACAUGAAGGUUCUUCGCUCCGAGCUGAUGCACUGAAGUCAAGAGGAAUGUUGCUGAGGUACAGACGGGCCCUGUGCUUUGCCCAGUGGGUUCCUGGGGUACUUCCCAGUUCUGUUGAAGGAUGGGAUUUUGAUCCAAAGAGUUUUAGAUUACCCAGUGCCCAAACUUGUACAAAACAUAGGGGGAUGAGCUCUACUUCAAAGAGCUGUGAGAGUGGCUCUUGUGCCAAAACCCUAUGUUGGAAGAGAGUAGACUUUUUUUGGAAAUACUGAUUAUGUAUGUGUAUGUCUGUAGAUACGUAUAUGCAUAUAAACUACACAUAUGUAUUUUAGUAAUUAGUCAAAAAUAUGUUUGUUCUCUUUUGAACUGCCCUAGGAGUUGCAUAAAGGUUAUGAGUUUGGGUAUUUGGAAUGCUCUGCCUUCGAAAGGAUUUGGGGCAUUAAGGGGGUAACAUACCCCUGCAAAAAGGAGAGAUGUAUUCCAGAGGAGAUCUGAGCAUCCAUUUUCCCUCAUGGCAGUGUUUGUUUUUUUCGUUACAUCCUUUGGUUGCAUUUAUUCACCAGUGAAGCUUCACUACCAUCCAAAGGGAGGCUGGCCCCAUGGUGAGGGCUGGCUGCCUUGGGGAGGAAGGGAGUUGUUGUUAUUGGAAGUACAGUCUCCAAGGGGCACUCAAUGAGACCUUUGGGGAGGGAAUGGAAGGAAUUAGUUGACACAAAGGACAAUUGGCUGUAAUGGUUCUUUCAGAUGGUUAUGUUUUAUUGUGUAAAUGUAUGUUUAUAGGCUUUUUUAAAAUGCAGAUUAAACACCCAGCACUGUAUUUAGACACUCGGAAGAAAACAUGUCAUUGACUCAACAAAUCAGUGCCCCUUCUUUUAAACUGCUAUGUUCCCUCGUGCUGAAGUGUGUUUGGGUGAUGUUAAAUGUGUGUAUUGCAUAGCCAAAGUCAGCGAUGCUGCUGGCAAAGCUAAGGCAUGGAAGAGACACUCUGAGACAGCAUUUCUG